AUCUGGCUGAGAAAUUUUAAAUAAGACGAAACGCGCGUCCUAGAU
rnacentral:hammerhead_ribozyme from 1 species